UCUGUCUAAAUCAGAUUAAUAACAUGAUAAUGUACAUAUGCAAGAUGUGAGGAAUUGUUUUAACUCACCCCUAAACUUUAAGAAAUUGAAACAUUAUCAUUCAAAAUAUUUAACAUUUCCAGAAUUGAUAGUUGUCUAUUUGAGCAGUGACUGGUGGUUAUCAUGAACUGAUGUGUGGUUGUGGUGUCAAAUCUUGGUGAAACCUGUUGUCAUCUGCCGGUUAACAUAAUAAUUUCUUGAUUCACUAAAUAUGAGUUCAAAUUUGAUGCAGAAUGGGCAACCAGCCUACUGCAAACAAAUCUUCUGGAACAGUUCAGAUGAAGGGACAGCCAAUCCAGCAAAACAGCAACUGCUGUGGUUAGCCGAGCAUCUUAUUUUACUUCUACAUGUUAGCUGACUGAUUGUAGACAGUUUUAACUAUGUUGACUGCAUUAUCUUAUGAAUCUUUUAAUCUGUCAGAUUUAUUUCCUGCUUUAAGUUCUUUCCGUUUAUAACAAAUUUAAUUUCAUGCUUCAUUGCAUUCCAAAUUCCUGUCAAUUUACGAGGGAAAAAGAAAAGAGAGACGAGAUCGGAGAAAAUGGUCAAAUUUGUUAGGGGGAGAGAGCUGUUCAAGUAGUUUUUAUUCUUGUUUAUUGUCGUGACCCUCUUGUAGCUUGUCUAUGACCUGGAAGUCCGGUCAUAUCGGAUGGGUAAAGUUACCAAAACGGCAUCAUUUUGGGUGAAAUAUCAUAUUUAUGUAACACUUUUGAUAAUAUUUUUGUGCAACAAAAAAAUGUUCGCGGUACCCUUUUCACAUUGUGUAGCGCAUGAUCGGAUGAGAGCAGUCUGGAUUGUGGCAUCACAAGCUAAUGCUUUGAUUUGCUUAGUUUGUUUUUUGUUUCUGAUUUUUUCUUGGCAUUGGGUGGCAUAUUAUUUCUCUUUUGAGUUUUCCUUUUUUUUUUUUUUUUUUUGUUAUGGAAUCUAGAGAUAGUGUACAUGUAUGAAGAUGACGUAAUAAAGUUAUUUGAUAAUCUCAAAAAAAAAAAUUCACUCUAAUAAAUCUCGUAGCAAGCACAUGGUUUAUAUUGCAAGUCUUUUCGAAACUAAUUCAAAGAGAAAAUAUAAUUGAUCUUUACUUGUCAUAAAGAAUUCUAAAUAAAUUCAUAUACGCAUCGCAGCUAAUUAGAGCCUCUAUACUUACAUUUGGUUUUUGUUACUUUUUUGUAGAGUUGUGCUGUGCAUAAAAGUUUUGUUAAAUGAAAUCGGUGGGUGAAGAGAAUUUUCAGAAGCAUACAUCAAAGUAAUGAUCAAUAUAAAUAUUGAUUGUCUCAAGUUAGAUUAUACAAAGAUGAAAUAAUGCUAAUCUAGUAAAUUCAAUCAUAAUAAUUUGACUUCCAUUAUAUUAAUUAUGUCCAAUCGUGCUACUUUAAUAAAGAACCCUCGAGCAUUUAUAUGUAUACAACAAACAAAAUUAAUUACAAAACGAUCUUUGACAAAGUCUGACCGGUCAACUAUCCACCAAAUUUUGUAAUAUGUUACCGUUGAACUCUCAUAUCAAAUAUGGAUAGACAGCGCUUUGGCUAACAGUGAAAUAUAUACGAGCAUAAGAGCUCCGUUCUCUGUUUUGAUGGUGUUUCUCUUUGUGGUUGUUGGACAAAUUGUAAUGUGAAUUUCUAUUUAAUGGGUAUCAUAAUACUUUUAGUUACUUUGGGAUUGUUGAUUUAUAUAUGACCUUCAGUAUCCAAAAUUCAGAUAAUGAUAACCUUUAGUACUCUUGUCAUAUUACCUUUCGUGUUGGUGUUAAUAUCUUAAUUAUGUACCCAAUGGUAAGGACAAUAUAUAACUAAUUUGAAACUUCUAUAAUUUUAUAUAUAUAGAUGCAAAUUCAUUUUUAAGAGUGCAUUUAAUCAAGCAGUCCAUGCGUUUAUACUGAGUAAUUGGUUCAAUAUUAAUACAAAACUAUUUUAAGUAACAUGUGGCAUAUUCUAAUUCCAGCGAGCUUCCAACUCAUAUUCCCAAUUUAAAAGAAAAGUUUUCAAUUUUCUCCAGAAUGUUCUACAAAACGUUUCUUCUAGUCUCUACACUGUGCUAGAAUUUUCUCUAAGUUUCUUUUGCAAAGACUUUUAAAGAACUAUCCAGAUACUGAGCUAUAAUCCAGUCUAAGCGUAUAUAUCUCUCUAUAUUUCACCUCCCUCCAUUUCACUAGAAGAUCAACAAACACUUAGCUUCGAAACAAACACUCUCAAAAAGCUAGCUUAGCUACCCAGAUGGCGAAAUCAAGAAUUCUUGCAAUGACAAUGUCGUUUCUUGUUAUGGCUGCAACAUUGAUUAUCAUGGCAUCACAAGCAAACACUAUGAUGUCGUACACACAAUCACCUUUCUUUGACGUGAUGUUUGCAAUGACAGAAGAUCCUUUCAGGGUUCUUGAACAAACCCCUCUAACAAUCCCAAAAAGAGCUGAUCAGCAUCAAACUCUAGCCCUGGCGAGAGCAGACUUGAUGGAGCACCAACAGCACACGUGAUCGCGCUCGACAUUCCAGGGAUGAAGAAAGAUGAAGUGAAGAUUGAAGUUGAAGAGAACAAGGUACUCAGAGUGAGUGGGGAGAGGAAGAGUGAUGAUUAUUAUAAGGAGGGAGUUGAAGGAGAGAAACGGCACAGAGCUGAGAGCACAUUUGGCAAGUUUUAGAGGCAGUUCAGGAUGCCUAUGAGUGCUGACUUGGAACAUGUUAAGGCUUAUUUGGAAAAUGGUGUUCUGAGGAUCACAGUGCCAAAGUUUGCUGAGGAGAAGAGGAGGCAGCCUAAGGUUAUUAGCAUUAAUGAAGAGCUCGCAGGUAAUUCUUUCGGUGAAGAUAUUAAGGCCACCAAGGCCCAAAUGUGAUUGAUUAAAGAAAAAAGUGCUUGCUUCGCUUGAUAUGCUAUUUAUCAAAAACUCCUUUUACCAUCCAUUUGAACAUACAUAAACACGCCCAAUUUGAAAGAAAAAAAAGUAGUAAUUAUAAAAUAUUUCAAUCGUCUACUGUUCAGCCACCAAAAACCAAUUUACCAUCCAUUUCAACGCCUAAUUUGAAAAAAGAAAAUACUAAUAAUAAAAUAUUCCAAUUGUCCAUCCUUUCACAAAUCAAAAAUAUCACCAAAAACCAAUUAACCAACUAUUUCAACAUAAGGUAUAUGGGUUAACAAGUCCCAAUAUUGUCCUCCAUCCUUUCUGCACUUCUCUCCUAUCAACGGACAUCCCUGGAUCCAUAAUUGCAAAAGUGAGUAAGGCAGGCCCUUCUUCGGAAAGUAUUUGAGCUUGCGACAAUGAUAGAGGUGCAAUUCAGUGAGGUUUUGAAGAUCAACAACCGAAGAAGAUAGGCGUUCCAGAUUUGGAAAUUUAGAAAUGCUCAGAGAUGUUAGAGAGGCAGGAAGAGGAAGCGCGGUCCCUAAUCUUUUGUCCUCUAGUGGAAAUGACACCAUGUCGUCAUCGCAUCCGCUGAUUGUAAGAUGUCGUAGAGAAGAGAAUCUGUGAAAUCCCCGGCCCCGCUCAAUCAUUGACUUCCAAAUCUCCAUAUUACCCUGAAUAUGAAGUGAAUGAAGGUUGGUGGGAAGGCCAUCUUCUUCAAGGCUUGGAAGCUCACCUCCUAUUGUUAAUUGUUGAAGAGAGGUCAGAUUGUACAAUCCCUUGGGUAAGGCCUCUAGUCUCUUACAAUCAAAUAUCGUCAGCCUCGUGAGUUUCGCACAAGGCAAUCCCCCUUCGGGAAAGGACACCAGAUUUCCACACCUCUUUAUCCAUAUCUCUUGAAGCUGGCGGAGAUUAUGUAAACCACUCGGUAAAAUUUUCAGAUUUUCACAACGAGAAAUGUCGAUUUCUUCAAGAGAUGUGUUGUUGUCCAAUCUUUCUGCUAUUGACUCCAGCUUUGAACAUCCAUAAACACGAAGGGACUUAAGAGACGGAGGUAGAUUGCCAACUUCAAGGGACUCAAGCGUGGCAGGUAACUCGUUUUUUGAAAAUAUACAUGUCAGUGAUGGACAAUGCCAAAUUUCUAAGUGCUCAAGAAGAGAUGAGGUGUACCUUCUGCUGCUGCUGCUACUGUGGAUGCCCUCUUCCACUGUCAAAGUCCUUAUAUUAUCGCAGCGGCUGAUCUCUAACUUCUUAAGUCUCGAUGGUAGCUGGACAACAGCAAUAUAUGUCAACGAUCGGCAACCCUCAAUAUUCAAGAUCUCGAGAGACGAAUUGGUGUCGCACAUCCAUGCCUCUGGUAACGAUUUCAGUGCAUCACAAUGCCUAAUCUGAAUUUUCUUCAACUUGGAAGGCAGAGCAACCUCAGGAAAGGAAACAAGGGAACUGCAGCCUUGGAUUUCUAUAUCUCUCAAGGAACUGAGGCUGAACGAUGAUUGUGGCAGCUUCACAAGGCCUUCGCAAUUACUCAAUCUUAGAUAUUCAAGUCUGCAUGACAACUCGCAGAGCUGCUGUUGUUGGUCUUUCUCUUCCUCCGCAACCAAGGAUUGAAGUUUGGGACAACUUGUAAUCGCCAGUCUUUUGAGAGAGCAAAUGUCUUGCAGUAAUUGGUUAUGGCUCUUCCAUAUACAUGUUUCAUUUUGAAUAUUAUUUAUCUCCAAUUCUUCCAGUUUUGGUAUUCGCGGCUUCAAUGGCCCUGCGAGAAACACUUCAUUUGAUGUAUCUCUACAAACCACUGAAUUCUGUGAGCCGAGAUGAUCAGUUGCACUUCUCCACACAACCUUUUUACAUCCACCAAUUUCCAUUUUGCAAAGAGCUGGAAGACUCGUAACUGACACUGACAAUUCUUCACAUUCUCCAAUAACAAGCAUCUCCAAUGCAGGAAGGCAUUCUGGCACUGUUCCCCGCAGUUUAGAACAUCUUGAAAUGCGAAGCUCUCUCAAUUUAGGAAACCCUUCAACUCCCUGACCAGAUCUAAGAGGAAUCCAGUCUUCCCAUUCUUGCAUGUCUACAAAACGAAGACUUUCCAAGCAUGGAAAAGGAAUCAGGGAAUCAUUCCCAUAGAACUCUGAACCCAAACUCUUUACUCUACUCAUUCCACGCACUUCAAGAUGCUUUAGAGAGGGUAGUUGCCCGACUGAUGGCAGGGUAGUACACAUGCCACAAACUUCAAAAGUUAAGGUCGCCAAAUUUGAGAAUGAGGAAUCUCCCAACCAAGUUGGAAAUUCUUUACCUCCAUAGCCACUGAUACAAAAUUGUUCCAGAUUUUCAUGAGGUUUUAGCAUGUCGACCACAUCCUUUUCAGUUUCUGCCUCCCUUGAAGGCAAACCAUUGGUACUCCGUGUCCAUCGAAAGGUUAACACUUUAAGAUUCUUCUUUCCAUCCAAUUGAGCCUCCUUCGCAUCACCAAUGUCUUUUACGUUCUCUAAUUUUGAAAUGUUAAGUGGCCCACGAAGAUGCGUCAACAAUUUUAGCUCUCGUAUCCCGGAACCACUGUCUUUUCCCACAACAAAAUUACACAGCGUUUGAAGGCAAGUCAACUUACCAAUUCCUAGUGGCAUCUCCUCCAAUGAAUCUGUAUUUGAAUUAUUGAGAUGAUGCAAUUUGAUGAGAUUUCCCAUGUCUGUACACAACUUCUUCAGUCGCCGACAGCCCUCCAACAGAAAGGUGUGCAAAUUGUAAAGCUUGUUGACUGAUUCGGGUAGAGUUAUAAUGCCAGUUCCCGAUAAGUUAAGGUACCUUAAAUACCUCAAAUCACCAAUUGAAUCCGUUAGCUCAUAGAUGCAAUAUCCACGCAAAGAGAAGACCCUCAACCGUUGGAGUUUGAACAACUUAGGAAGAAUGCUACGAGCCAAGAAUCCACGCGAACUAUUUGACAAUGUUACUGGUAAAAAAGUUCGCAAAUGGUGGAUAUCAUGCAAGUCCUCAAACCUUUGAACGCGAUCACAAUAUCCACGAAUGUAUGACAGGUGACGAAGAUUUUUGGAAAAACUUUGUUGCUUGUUAACCUCUGAGUUAUACUCCAUUGUGAAGUACAUCUCCCCAGCGGCCCAAUGGGCAAGUUCGUUGACAAGGUCGUGCAUCACAAAUCGUGAUUUGUUGUUGCUUGAUUGCUGGAAAAAAGAUCUUGAACGUAGCUCUUGAAAGAACUUUCGACCUAGAUCUUCAUUAGGAUUCCCACUCUCUUUGUGAUCCAAGAAACCCGAAGCAUACCAUAAUAAAAUUAUCUCCUCCUCUUCAAAUUCAUAAUCCUUUGGAAACAAUGAGCAGUAUGCAAAGCAUUGUUUCAAAGGUGCCGAAAGAUAAUAGUAGCUCACUCUAAGCGCCGGUAUAAUGUCACAUCUCUCUUCGGGUAAAUUCCAUAUCAUGCAACUGAGCACACCUUCCCAAUCACUCCCGCCAAGUUUACCACGCAAGAGUCCACCAAGAGUUUUCGCAGCUAAGGGCAAGCCGUUGCAUUUGAUCACUAUCUUCUUGCCAAUUUCCUCCAAUGACUUGUUUGAACUGAAAUCUCUUGUCCCCAAAGAGUGUUGAGCGAACACAGACAGACAAUCAUCAUUUGACAACUUUUUCAAUUGAUAAGCCGGAGCAGUCCCCAUGAUGGCUGCAACCCCUUGAUUACGAGUUGUGACAAUAAUCUUACUUCCCGGUGCGCCAGCUUCAAAUGGAGGUCUGAGUCGAUCCCAACCAUUGUAAUUCUCAUUCCAAACGUCAUCUAAAACAAGCAAAAAUUUCUUUUGAGAUAACUUCUUCUUCAGCUCCUCUUGAAGCAAAUUUAAAUCACUAUCAUCAGUAGUCUGCUUAGUAAUGGAUCUUAGAAUUGUUUUUGUUAGCCUGAUAACAUCAAAAUCAUCAGAGACACAAGUCCAUGCCUUGAGAUCAAAAUGACCCUGCACUCGAGCAUCAUUAUAGACAAGCUGAGCGAGAGUGGUUUUACCCAGCCCGCCCAUGCCUAUGAUAGGAAUAACAGAGAAUUCACCAUCAUUUCUCAAAUCAUCCCUCAACAACAAUUCAACAAUUUCUUUCUUUUCUGCUUCCCUGCCAAAUACCUUGGCUUCAUUCACCAAAGAGGUUGUGGGUAGUCUUUGCCUGUCUUUUUUGGACCCCCCAGUUGAACUUUCUUUCAAAUCUAGCAAGUCUUUCUGUGUCACAAUUUCUUGAAAUCUGCCGUUGAUCUCUUUGAUUUUGGACAUCAAGGCAUAAUCGAAAUGAAUCGAUUGUGGAGUAAAAGUGGUGCAGCAAGUAGGAAUGAGCUUCCGAAACUUACUUGUUCUUGUACGACUGCUACUGGGUUGAUCCUGAGCCGCAGCUGGAUCUCCAUUUCCAAGCAGCAACCUCCUCCGGAAAGCCUCAGUUUGAAACUCAUCCAACAAGUCUUCAACAUCAUAAGCGAAGUUCUGAAGCUUGCCAAGCCACUUCUUCACAAACUGAUUAGUCGUCUUCUUCUCCUCAGCAUCAUCAAGUACCGCCUUGAUCAUCUCCAACAUAUUCGCCCACUUCAUCAGAUCGGCCUGGAUUUGCUCUUGGCGUGCAAAAAACAGAAUCCCCUCUGAAGCUAACUUAUUGACCAGCAAAUCAACGGACGCCGUAAGGAUUGCCUCUCCGAUGAUUGACAUUUUUUUUUUGUUUUGCAAAGAAAGAAACAGAAUUUUGAGUUUUGAAAAGCAAAAUGAGAAAAUUGAACAAUAAGUGUGGAGGGUCAAGCAAAAUGCGCGUAACAAGUCUUCCGCUUCUUGUUUAUUCCAGGAAAGUGCAAAUAAAAACAGAGCCCACCACCCAUUAAUAAUUGAGCAAUUCACCAAUCACGAGUCGCCACCACUCGUUACCAUGAAUAUAAUAAAUUGCACCUCCAUAUUUGCAGGGUCCAGCAACAUUGACCCAGUGUCCGGGUAAAUGCUGAAUAACGAGGAAAAUGGAAUGUAUCCGCUACGAAGCUUCGCUUUACAGGUCUUCAAACUCAUAAACCAAGAUAAAUCAAAACGUUUAUCUCUCUCUCUCUCUUUUUGCCAUAUAAUUACUUUAUUUAUUGAAUUAAUUUCCAUGCUAAAAGGAAGACUUAAAAGUGCACUACAAUUUUUUAUAAUCACAAUGGUAAUUUCUACUAUCAUGUUAUUUUAACGUCGUGUUAAAAUAAAUUAUUACAAUUUUUUUUUUUAUGAACACUCUUUUCAUUUAUAAAAUUUUUAAUUUUUAAUAUUUUUCUCACUCUUUUAGUCUUAAUAUUUGUAUUUCUCUCUUCAAACUUUCUUUAUUAUUUAAUUUUUAAAAAAAUAUGAAAAAAAGUAAGAAAAAUAUUAUACUUAAAAGAUAGUGAAUAUUUUAUGGGUCUAAUACAAGCCUGUAUUGUUUUUGACAAUGAAAGAGCACGCGAAAAAUCUCACUCAUAGAAAACUUUGUGAAAGGCAUUUGAAUGUGUGGCCACAUUUUCCGAACGAAACGAUAAGGCUUUAGCCUUAUAAUUGCAAUUAGUUUGUCUUGUAACUAAAUUAUUGCCGACAAACACCAUCAUGCUGACAAACCGUGCAUGCACGUCCUCAAUCACCCCAUAUUUCCCAUUACUUCCCGUACUUUAUGCGUUAUUGUUUUGUAUGUUUUUUGGUGUUUUCGGUGUAGUUAGGGAUCGUAGCGGGUAGCGUCUGGUACGGGUUUGACAUCACCAAACCCGCAUCUACAAAAAAUUUUAAUUACGUAAUUCAAAUUAUAAAUUUAUAAACAUUGCCUAAAAAAACCACAUAAAAUACUUAAUUCUACAUUUUAUCAAUAUAAAUGAGAAAUGAAAAUAUCAACAUUAAAACAAAUACACAAAAUAUAUCAAUUUAACAUUAAUUCUUAAAUUCAAUUACCAAAUAAAUAAGUCUAUCACAACUCGAAGUGCUUUUAAUUUAAAAAGAAAAAAGAGAAAGAGAAAAAACAAAGAACUACAAAUCAAAGUAGCACUCAGACCUAUUUUAUAGGCUCAUUCGACACUAAGAUCUUAGAAUUAAGAUCUUCAAUUCAUUCAUUACCACUAGCACCCAUUCAACGUGGUUUUUCUAAGCAAAAUAUAAAGUACAAAAUUACAAUAAGCAUAUGAUACUCCAUGCUUUAAGUUAAAGGUCCUUAUAUAAUUUUAUGAAUAAUGUUUUAGUGAAAUUUUAUGAUUAAAGUUAAAAAUACACAAAUAUUAAAAUAAGAAUGUUGGAUACCUGUGCAACUAUUUGCCAAAUUUUUUCUCUAUAAAAAUUCACUUGCAACUUGCAGCAGGUUUAAAUUUAUAAUAUCAAACUUGAUUGUAGCUCGCAAAAUUUUUAGAUCUGCGAUAAUUUUGCCACCCUAAGUGUAGUUAGUAUUGUAUAUCGUGUGUUUCCAAUUGGCUCUUAUAAAAAGCCUAGAAGUUGUUUGAAUAAUGAGGGAGACAAAUAUUUCCCAAAGAUAUUAUCUUUUUCAAAUUUUUUUUCUUUUCUCUAUUAUUGUAACUUCAAAUCCUUAAAAAUUACAUAUUACAGAUAUGAACACAAUGUUUUGACAUAGUGCCUUUUGGCUUGUCUAGAGAAAUUUAGGAUAGAUUUUGAUGUACGAAGGCUCUGUUUACUAUUGAGAUUUUGAAACUUUUGAGCCACACUUGAAAUUUGUUUAAUUCUAAUAGAGUUGUAGCCUUCGAUAUGUGAUUGGUAUUAAUCAAGUGUUAUGUUUACAGCAGUUAAAGGCAUAUUGAAUCAAAGUCCACUUUUGAUUGAGAUUUUAAAGUAGGUUUUUAAUUUGAUAGCCACUCAAGUUCAAAUAUUGGAACCACAGUGCACCUUUCACUUGCUAGGCUUUAACCAAACAGACGACGUUAUACCAACUUCUAUCCAAUAAGGCAAUGAAAACAAAAGCAAGUGAAUUAAAAAUAAAUAAUUUCUCAUUAAUUUGCAACAAGUAUUAAUAAAGUGCAUGAGAAAAUAUGUCUUUUUUUAAAUGAAAAUAAAUGUGUUAAUUAGUCAAUUUAAAUGGUACGAUGUUUUGAAAUGAUAGAAGCGAUCUGGAGUUUAAAUCUUACUCUUGACGUAAUAUUUAAUAACGAAUUUGAAGAACAAUUAAAAAUUAAAAGAAAAGAAAAAAAUGCUUUCUUUUUUAACGAUGGUAAUUUGUUCAGACGAUGAAAAUUCUUAGAGUGGUAUAAUAAGUAUUUUUGAGUGUUGCCAUCGCGAAUAAUAUUUAAUUUCCUUUAUAUAGUUAUAUCUCAAGUAACAUUUGAACAGAAGCAAGUUGGAAAUUAAAAAAAAGAAUGAACCAUUGAGAGAAUGAAAAACAAACAAAAAAAAAGUUAAAAAAAUUGUAUCUCAAUAAAUUUACUUGAGAGCUACUCUAUUGAUCUGUGAAGAGAAAACACAAAGAAUAAUGAUGAAUAUCAAUUAAUAGGACAAUUUUUGUAUUUUUCGUUUAUUCAAGAAUCACGAAACUUCAUUUAAACUUGUUAUUUCAUUGAUAAUAUUAAUAUAUUAAUAUUGAACAAUUAAUGUAGGAGACAUUCCUUUCCAAUUAUGCCCAUAUAUUAAUUAAAGAUCACCCAAAAGUUCAGGGAUACUAUAGUAAUUUAAGUCAACAAUUUCUGCGCUUGAAAUCAGCCGAUCAAACUCACUUUAGAAUAAACUGAGAAAUCAAAAUCACAUUCUCCGAUUCUACGAUUUCAAUUCAUCUUAUUUCUUCAACUGAAGAAUUGGUUGUAUCUCGUUUUAUUUUAUUUUUAUUUUUAUAUUAAGAUAAAUAUAAAAUAUAAAUGACGAGGAGACUGUAAAUGUAAAAACAAAAGAAGAGCACAAGUUUUAUUGAAAAUGACUCUUUUCAUCAUUUUGGCGGAGUGAACGUAUCUACAUAUAAACUAAAGAAGCACAUUUGUUUGUAUUAACUUUUUUAUUAUAUUUUUAAUAAUAAGUCAUUUUUCAAUGAACUUAUAUCAAUUUUUACGAAAAUAAUAGGUGUUAGUUAGUUGAUUCAAAUGGCAAAACCUCUUGGAUAGAGCUUGUAAUUUAUUGGCUCAUGAAUUGUCUAAAUUGACACUACCGAAGCCAAAUUAUUAUAUUUGGUUAAAAAAGCUCCUGCUGAGCUUCAACUUUAUUAUUCUAUGAUGUUUAUUAAUAAAUAACAAUUUUAUUAAAAAAAAGAUCUCUUGAAAUGAUACAAAAGAUUUGGGAUCUGAAUCUCACUCGAAUUUAGCUUGAGGUUGGCAUUGUUAGCAUAAUAUUUGAAGAUAGAUUUUUUUAAAAUUAAAAAUCAAAAGAUUUUUUUUUCUGGUUCACACUAGUUAGUUUUUACUCAUAAUGAGAUUAAAACAAAAGCGGAAUAAUAAAUCUUAACAUCCUGACUCAUGGAUAACAUCUAGAUAAGAUAGUAAAAUCUAUUAUGUCCAAAAUAAGAGGUAUGAAGUUUGAAUUUCGCUCACAUAGGUAGUAAGAGAAUCAAAUUAUUGUUAGAUUAAAUUAAUUAAAAAAAUUAUCUGAUAUCCAAAACAGCGUGUCAACAAAAUUGAAAUAAAAGAAAAUUGAAGAGAAAAACCAUUGAGAGAACGAAAAAUUAACACAAGAUAAAUUCGAUAACUAAUUGUAUCAGUGUGCGCUAACUUCACUUAUUAAAACUUGGUUAUUUCAUUUUCAUUGAUAAUCAUUUUGACAACGAUUUUUCUUUCCAGCUAUGCCCGUGAACUAAUAAGAGAACUGCCGAAAGGGUUCGGGGAUAAUAUAGUAAUUUAAAUUAACAUUUUCUGUGCUUCAAAUCAUCAAAUCAAACUCACACUUCGCAACAACAGAGAAAUCAAACUCACGGUUUCUCUCAUUUUUAAUUUGUUAUAUAAAGAUAAAUAUAUAAAUUUAAAUGGCGAGAAGACCGGACGAGAAAUACGAUUACUUGUUCAAAGUGGUAUUAAUCUAAAAAUAAUAAUAUUAAAUAAAACACCUGUAACUUUAAGACAUACAUAUUCUCAAAGCACAAGUGGACCCGAGAGGCUGGGAGUCGUAAUGGAAAGAAGAAUACAAUAUAUGAAACUUAUAACGUUAUUUUUACUAUAUUAUAUUGAUACUUUGUUUUGUUAAUCAUAUAAGUCAAUCAAUAAUUGUCUAAUCAUUGGAAUUAAAACUAAUGUAUUAAUUAAAAUUCACAAUCUAUUAUAAAAAUAGUAAAUAUUAAUACAAAGAGAUGGACCUAUUACAAAAUAAAUUCACCAAAAGUUCUAUUAUACUUAAAAUUCUCAUUCAAAAAAAAAUAAUAGUUGAAUACAUGUACAAAAAAAGGGGAUAAAUAAAAAAUAAUAAUAAUAAAUAAUAAAAGGAUAGUUUAUAUAAUAAAAAAUAAAUUUAUUGAAUAGGGAUGUUAAUAAUAAAGAAUAAUAGCCGAUCAAACUCACUUUAGAAUAAACUGAGAAAUCAAAAUCACAUUCUCCGAUUCUACGAUUGACUCUUUUUCAUCAUUUUACUGGAGUGAAUGUAGCUACAUGUAUUGGGGACCAUAAUGGAAACUGGUAGAAACUACAAGGGCUAAAAUCAGAACAACGAACGAUAUCUCAAGGUCGCCAAAACGUAAAUAAUUAAUCUUAUCUUUCAAUUGAUUUUUUUGUGGAGACAGAGACAAACCCGAACAGCAAAUAGCCAUAACUGAUAGGACAACUAAGUUGGAACACUCCGCAGACCCACGAUUUAAUAUCUUUAGAUUGUAACGGUUUAACCCCCAAAAAAAAAAAUUAGCAAAAUAUUUCUUAAAAAAAUGAAAAAAAAAAUGUUGAAAAGAAGAACAAAAUUGUGGUCCACGUGUCAUUUCAGAAUAGGUUGCUGGCAUAAACAACCGGCCCCAUCCCGGACAGAUGUUAUUUGAGUGGUUGGUACGCGUUUCUACUUUUUUGUUUUAGACAUAUAUAGGUAAUCCCUAUCUUAUAUAUAUAGGUAAUCCCUAUCUUAUAUGCAUAUAAGAUACAUAAUGUUAUUAGUUUAAAUAAUGGGUGCAACUCAUGUUUUUGAAACAUUAAGAUCUUUAGCCAUUCUCUUACCAUCCCAUGGUUAUUUAAGUUACAAGAGACAGUAAAAAAACGUCAUAUUUUAAUUACUUACACUAAUAAAUAACUUACUCACACUAAUGCCGCGACUACCGCUUGCUUUUUUUCUUUUUUUUGCCCUUUUGUUUUUGACUUUUUGACUUUUGCUUUUGGUUUAUAAUAAUAAUAAUAAUAAUAAUAAUAAUAAUAAUAACUACUUUUUAAUUUAAUAUAAUAUAAUAUUAAAUAAUAUUUUUAAUUUUAAUUUUACAUUAUAAUUAUUAAUAUAUAAUUUAUUAUUCAAUAUUAUUAUAUUAUGUUUUUUAUUUUUACAUUAUAAUUUAUUAAUAAAUUUAUAAUUUAUUAUAACUAAUAAUAAAUAUUUAAAUAUGAAUAAAUAUGAAUAAUAUUAAUUUAAAAUUAAUAAUAAUAUAAAAUAUUAAUACAAUUUAAAUAUAUUAAUAUAAUAUAAUAUAAUAUUUAAUUUGAAUUAAUCACAAAAAAUUAAUACAGUACAGUGUAGCACCAAAUAUUGUACAUUAUUAUUAUAAUACAAUGUUAAUGCAACGCAACAUAAUACAAUACACCAGCAUUAAAAUAAUACAAUCUAGCAUAAUACACUACAGUGUGCGAAAUACACCGACAUAGAAUUACUUUGUUUGUCUUGUUAUUUACAAUUAUUUAAUCUGUAGACCCACUCAUGCUCCUUCUAUGUAACAUAGAUACAAUUUGAGGAAGAUUAUCAAUUUUUUCUGAUAAAAAAUAAUAUAUACCACUUACUCUUUAUUGUUUUUAUAAUGUUCAACAAUCCGCUUGAGAUAAAAAAAAUUAAAUGAAAAAGAGUAAAUAGAUGAUUUGUUUGAUGUUAUAUCUUAGAAAUAUAAAAUAUAUAUUUAUUAUUAAAAAUAUUUAAAAAUAAUAAAGAGUACAUAAAAAAUAUCUUAUCCUCAACAACAAGAUCAGACGACGUCAAUUCAGCAAAAUGACUCGAACAAUCUGAAAGUCCAGCGUCACCUCUUGGGACACAUCUGGCAACCUGUGUAGCUUUGGCGAGAGGUCUCCCAAAAGGACGAUUAAGGAAAGAUUGCAAGACGGAAUCAUGAAAAUAGUAGUACUGAGUCCAUCACAGUCAAGUCUUAGAAAUCACAUCCCUGUAUUAAUUUCCAGAAAAAUGUUUGUUCCAUAUUAGCCGUACACGUAUAUAUUCUAUAUAUUGGGAAUAGAAAGAGCAUAUGUAGAAAAUUCUUCAUUCAUCAAUUAAAACUUAACUUAUGUACGAGGGUUAAGUGCAGAGUUUUUAAAUUUGAAAGGGAUAAGUAUUAUAGUCCAUUUCAAUUUAGAUACAAGUACUUCGAACUUGUAUUUGAGGUAAAAUCUGUAUACCAUAGUACAUAUUAUAUAUCCAGUCAUGGGAUCCAUGCAUGGUUCCAUGUAAUUCGCAGAGUUGAACUGGAGACACUGAUUAGUUCGUUGUCUACUUACCAACUAUGUACUACUAAGUAAUUUUUUUUUUUUUUUUAUGGUUCAAAAGCAUAUUGUCAAACCACAAUCAGAAGCAACUUAAGUUUUGAUUACGGUUCACCAGAAGUCACAGCUAGCAAGUGAUCCUUGCAUCAUUUUGCUAAACAUACAAUGAAAUUAACCCUUGUAAUUUCGGCCUUUGCCAUAGUCGUUUUGUUUAUUAGGUUUAUGUUUAUCAACAUGAUAUAUUGUCAACCAUAAUCACAAUCAAGUUGUUAAUUAUUUUUUAAAUAAUGCGAAGGUACAAGAUUUUGGUCUUUGAGUGUGGAGUUAAAAAUAUCUCACCUCAACAUUAUUUGUUAAAAAUUAUGUCAAAGAGGAAAGCAGAUUCAAACAUUACUUCAAUUUUCUUUAAGAGCAUCAAAAAAUCGUUAAUAGGCUACUGUUAUUUGUUAGUACGAUUUCACAAAAGGAAGCUGGGGGAAGAUGAAGCUUUCAAGUCAUGUAUGCAUCAAAGUAAGAAAGAGCUAACAAGAGAUAGACAAGUAUUAACCAUCGUUAUCAGAAAUUAAAUAUGUCAGCAUUUUGUCAGUUCUGGCCAUAUUUUGAAAGAUUGGAACUAUUAGCACCCUAAUUUUCUUUUGAAGCUCCUUUUCUGUGGAAACCUAUUUUAAUUUCCAAAAUAUCUUUUUUCCAUUCUUUUAGUUUCUUUCUGAUUCAAAAAAAAAAUCAGUUUCUUAAACAACUCCAACUAUAAAUAUUUUUUUACAAAUUUUUGAAUUGUUAAAUCAUGUGUGUGUAUAAAUUGAAUAGAAUUAAAAGUGAACUCAAAUGGCUAUUAUGUAAUUUUUUUUUUUAUAAUUAAAGAAAAGUUUAGAAUGCAAAAGUGCGUGUGAGAAAACAAAAAAUAUAAAUCGCCUUUGAUGUAGUUGUAUGGCUGUAAAGAGUUAAAUGGAGAAAUAUAGUAUAUAGUUAAAUUUAUUUUGUUCUUUAAAACGGGUAGGUUUUAUAAGAAUUGUUUAGAGGACUACCAAUAUUUGAACUCUUUUUCAAAUGAAGUGAUGUCCAAGAAUAAAAUCACUACUCUAUCAUUGCUAUUAGUUUGUCUUGUAAUUCAAUCACUGCCGACAAGUAUUAAUUGUGAAUAUUAUUAUUUUAAAAAUAUUAUUAUUAUUAUCGUCGUUAUUCUUAACAGCAAUGACUAGAAUUAUAAUAAUAACAAUAACGUUAUACCAUAAUAUAACAACACAAUAAUAUUUUAAUUGAGAAUAAGAAUGAAAUUAUGAAAUUUAGGUUGGGUAAAAUUGAUGAGUGAAGAAAUUAAAUUACCAUUCUUUAAGCUAAAUAGUUCAUAAAUUCCACAUAUUUUAUUCUUAUUUUUCUUAUAUUUUAACAAGUAAAUAUUAUUAAUUAUUUUAAUAUUUUAAUUAAUAAACACGAGAUUAACUACAGAACCAAAAGAUCCCAAAAAAAAAAGGGGAGACGCGUGUAUGUAUUGCUUGUGACAAGUCUCACCCAUGGAAAACUUUGUGAAAGGCAUUUGAAUGUGUGGCCACAUUUAAUGAACGAAACGAUAACUUUAAAAGAAAGUAUGUAAUGUGUUGAUUAUUAGGCUUUAGCAUGGUGAUUGCAAUUAGUUUGUCUUUUAAUUAAAUUAUUGCCUACAAACACUAUCACGACCCACGUCCGCUACUUGUGUGAAUGUGUGAAUAAAUAUCCGCAGCAUAUUAUCAAACCUGAAGCGUGAUCAUCUUUAAGUUUUGGUUACAGUUCAUCAGACGUUAAAAAAAAAACUCCACAUAUUGUUGGUUAGCUAAUUCUUGCAGCUAGCAAGUGAUCAUUUUCUUUCCCCUACUGCCGUAGCAUCAAAUCCUUGCACUUACAUAUCAAGUGGUAUUCGAGCCGUCAAAUGAUCCAUGGAAACACGCAACAAAUCAAAUGCUGAAUUUUGCGAAGAGAUUCACGAAAUCCUUGCUAUACAUGAGUCUAGUUUUGACCAAGUUCACGUCACCCAUCAGCUGCGGGUUUGAAUGGUACCUAGUGGAUAGUUUGUGAGUUCCCACUAAUAAAAUCACACUUGCAACAAAACUUAAAAAUUUAAAUUACGUAAUUCAAAUUAUAAAUUUGUAAUCGUAGCCUAAAAAAUCACAUAAAAUACUUAAUUCUAGAUUUUAUCAAUGUAAAUGAGAAAUGAAAGUUUUAACAUUAAAAUAAAUACACAAAAUAUAUCAAUUUAACAUAAAUUCUCAAAUUUAAUUACUAAAUACAUAAGUCUAUCGCAACUCAAAGUGUAGCACCAAAUAUUAUACAUUAUUAUUAUAAUAAAGUGCUAAUGCAACGCAACAUAAUACAAUACACCAGUAUUAAAAUAAUACAAUCUAACAUAAUACAAUACAGUGUGCGAAAUGAACCGAAAUGGUAUUACUUUGUUUGUCUUGUUAUUUACAAUUAUUUAAUCUGUAGACCCACUCAUGCUCCUUCUAUGUAACAUCGAUACAAAUUGAGAAAUUUUAUCAUUUUUUUCUGGGAAAAAAUAAUAUAUACCACUUACUCUUUAUUGUUUUUAUAAUGUUCAACAAUCCACUUGAGAUAAAAAAAAUUAAAUGAAAAGAAGGAGUAAAUAGAUGAUUUGCUCGAUGUUGUAUCUUAGAAAUAUAAAAUAUAUAUUUAUUAUUAAAAAUAUUUAAAAAUAAUAGAGACUUCAUAAAAAAUAUCUUAUCCUCAACAACAAGAUCAGACGACGUCAAUUCAGCAAAAUGACUUGAACAAUUUGAAAGUCCAGCGACGGUCACCUCUUGGCACACAUACGGCAACGUGUGUAGCUUUGGCAAGAGGUCUCCCAAAAGGACGAUUAAGGAAAGAUUGCAAGACAAAAUCAUGAAAAUAGUAGUACAGAUAUGCAAUGGCUAAAUUGUCCUCGAUUGAGUCAAUCGCAAUCAAGUCUUAGAAAUCGCACCCCUGUAUUAAUUUCCAGAAAUAUGUUUGUUCCAUAUUUAUCGUGCACGUAUACAUUGUAUGUAUUGGGAAUAGAAAGAGUGUAUGUAAAAAAUUCUUCAUUCAUCGAUUAAAACUUAACUUAUGUACGAGAGUUAAGUGCAGCGUUUUUAAAUUUAAAAAGGACAAGUGGUUAGAGCUCCCACAAAUGUAUUGUAGAAGUUUAAUUUAAAUUUUUCUUCCUUAAAACUUAAGUGAAGACAGUUUUUCUCCUAAAAGUAGAGUUUUUCUAGGAGUUUGACGUCCCUCAAAUAUUUGAGAGGGUUAAAAUCUGAGCAAUACUAUAUAAGAUGUAAUGUAAACUGAUCUCAAUAAUUAUAUAAUUGUAAAUAUCAUGAGCAACAAUCUCAUUAAAAAAAAAGCAGAACAAGUGUCGUAAGUGUUGGAGAAAAAUUAGGUUUUUAAAUUUUUUAUAAAACCUUUUGAAGAUCUCUCUCAUAUAAUAUAUAAGAAUACGUAAUCUAGAAAUCGUAUCUUGAAAAUCCGAUUUGGCUUUUUUCGUUGAAGUGAUUUAGGCUCCUUGAUCACGAUCUUCCAUCACCACUCCUGUUAGAUCACGAUCCGUCACCACCACACUUGUUAGAUCACGAACUGUCACCAAUGAUCUUCCAGGUUAUGACUCAGGUUUGAUCUGCACUUGACGUGUGGGCGCCUUUAUCACUACUAAAGCAACUAGCACGAGAAAAUUUUUCUCUCAACAAUAGAGAGAAAAAUAUUUUUCUCUGAUCUGUAUAAAGUGGCUGCUCUCUUUUUCUUUUUAGAAAAUAAGCCUUUUUUAUAUCACUCUUUAGUGAAAACCCUAGACUCCAAAUAAUCAAAAAACAAAACUCACGUUAUUUGUUUUUUCUAUAGGAGACCCACCUUGUAAAAUAACAUAAGGCCCCUUACACAAAAGCUAAUUAAAUGGAGCCUCCCACUAAAUGAUAUAUUUAGGCUUUUGACCCAAAUAGCUAGUUAUCUUACUUAUUAGUCUAGUAGUGGUGCAGUCAAUUAAAUGAGCUAACCCAGGGAUCAUUUGGGAACAUACAAUAGUAGCUACAAUAAUUAGGCCUGUAAUUAAACUAGCCCAAUUAUUUACUUCCAAAUCUACUCCACUAAAAGAUUGGAACUGACUUCCAUAAUUGUAUGCUCGAAUAAUAAUUCGUCCCAAGCCACAUUGAUUUCUUUACUGCACAAUCCUUUGUACCACAUCGUUAAUUAAAUUGAUAUCUCAACUGUCCAAUCAAUUUAAUAACAUCUUAUUCCUUGAUCCUUACUGGUUUUCUCUAAUGAUCAUUUUCAACAUACUAAAUAUGUUGACACACUCUGGCCAGAGAAUUCUAUGAUCAAGUGCCGAAAACCCAUCAAGAGAUGUGUUGUACAAAUUCUAUAUUGUUAAUCCAUAACUCCAAUACUCAUAAUUGCUCCCACUAAGAUACCGGGUAAUCUUGACCACAAGGAUGUGUCUGCCCAUUGGUAAUUCAAAUGGAAUAACAAUUACAAUCAUGAAAUCAUAAUUAACUCAAGAUUAAGAUUACAGUAAAAUCAAUGCCUAUGAGAUUUAAUAAGUUUGACAGUUAUUACAAAGUUAAUUAAAUCUCAUAUGUGAUCCUGUUCAAUAUAGUCAUACUACAUCAAUAAAUUCAUACAUGAAUAAGACAAAUCAUUCAAUGAAUUUAUUACAGUCUAUACCUAAAUAAAGUGCCCAAUUUUAUUUAUCAACUGCGAACUAAAUUUAUUUAAUCAUAAGAUAACUUGUAUUUAUGUUUUCUGUGAAUCCACAUGGUGAUCACAUAAAUACAUCUAAUAUGAUUAAAUGGAUUUUAAUACAAAUAUUAAUGCAAUUAAGAUAUUUGAAUAAAAUACCUUAUUUAUUUUAUUAAUCAGAAAAAUUAUUUAUUACAAUUAAAUAAACACAUAUGCUUUUAAAGAGCAUAUUUUCCCAACAAUAAGCCCAUUUAAAUAAACUAAUAUUUGAAGGGGAAAUCUCUGUAUACCAUAGUAUAUAUUAUACAUCCAGUCAUGGGACCCAUACAUGGAUGGUUCCAUGUAAUUCGCAGAGUUGAACUAGAGACACUGAUUAGUUUGUUGUCUACUUACCAACUUAUGUACAACUAAGUAAUUGCAUGCUCCAUUUGCGACUUAUCUGUCCACCCUGCUUGCAUUGCAUUAACUACGUCCCCAAUCACCCACGUCCGCUACUUGUGUGAACGUGUACAUAAAUACAUAUAUCCGCAGCAUAUUAUCAAACCAGAAUCAGAAGCAACUUAAGUUUUGAUUACGGUUCACCAGAAGUCACAGUUAGCAAGUGAUCCUUGCAUCAUUUUACUAAACAUACAAUGAAAUCAACCCUUGUAAUUUCGGCCUUUGCCAUAGUCGUUUUGUUCAUUAGGUUUAUGUUUAUCAACAUGAUAUAUUGUCAACCAUAAUCGCAAUCAAGUUGUUAAUUAUUUUUUAAAUAAUGUGAAGGAACAAGAUUUUGGCCUUUGAGUGUGGGGUUAAAAAUAUCUCACCUCAAUAUACGGUGUUGUGCUCUCAUCAUCGUACUAUUAUUUGUUAAAAGUAUGUCAAAGAGGAAAGCAGAUUCUGUUGGGAAAAUAUGCUCUUUAAAAGCAUAUGUGUUUAUUUAAUUGUAAUAAACAGUUUUUCUGAUUAAUAAAAUAAAUGAGGUAUUUUAUUCAAAUAUCUUAAUUGCAUUAAUAUUUGUAUUAAAGUCCAUUUAAUCAUAUUAUAUGUAUUUAUGUGAUCACCAUGUGGAUUCACAGAAGACAUAAAUACAAGUUAUCUUAUGAUUAAAUAAAUUUAGUUCGCAGUUGAUAAAUAAAGUUGGGCACUUUAUUUAGGUAUAGACUGUAAUAAAUUCAUUGAAUGAUUUGUCUUAAUCAUGUAUGAAUUUAUUGAUGUAGUACGACUACAUUGAACAGGAUCACAUAUGAGAUUUAAUUAACUUUGUAAUAACUGUCAGACUUAUUAAAUCUCAUAGGCGUUGAUUUUACUGUAAUCUUAAUCUUGAGUUAAUUAUGAUUUCAUGAUUGUGAUUGUUAUUUCAUUUGAGUUACCAAUGGGCACGACACAUCCUUGUGGUCAAGAUUACCCGGUAUCUUGGUGGGAGCAAUUAUGAGUAUUGGAGUUAUGGAUUAACAAUAUAGAAUUUGUACAACACAUCUCUUGAUAGGUUUUCGGUACUUGAUCAUAGAAUUCUCUGGCCAGAGUGUGUCAACAUAUUUAGUAUGUUGAAAAUGAUCAUUAGAGAAAACCAGUAAGGAUCAAGGAAUAAGAUGUUAUUAAAUUGAUUGGACAGUUGAGAUAUCAAUUUAAUUAACGAUGUGGUACAAAGGAUUGUGCAGUAAAGAAAUCAAUGUGGCUUGGGACGAAUUAUUAUUCGAGCAUACAAUUAUGGAAGUCAGUUCCAAUCUUUUAGUGGAGUAGAUUUGGAAUUAAAUAAUUGGGCUAGUUUAAUUACAGGCCUAAUUAUUGUAGCCACUAUUGUAUGUUCCCAAAUGAUCCCCGGGUUAGCUCAUUUAAUUGACUGCACCACUACUGGACUAAUAAGUAAGAUAACUAGCUAUUUGGGUCAAAAGCCUAAAUAUAUCAUUUAGUGGGAGGCUCCAUUUAAUUAGCUUUUGUAUAAGGGGCCUUAUGUUAUUUUACAAGGUGGGUCCCUUAUUGAAAAAGCAAAUAACGUGGGUUUUGUUUUUUGGAUUAUUUGGAGCCUAGGGUUUUCACUAAAGGAAGAUAUAUAAGGUUUAUUUUCUCUAAAGGAAAAGUGAGAAGCCACUUUAUACAAAUCAGAGAAUAAGAUUUUUCUCUCCAUUAUUGAGAGAAAGAUUUUCUCGUGCUAGUUGCUUUGGUAGUGAUAAAGGCGCCCACACGUCAGGUGCAGAUCGAACCUGAGUCAUAACCUGGAAGAUCAUUGGUGACAGUUCGUGAUCUAACAAGCGUGGUGGUGACGGAUCGUGAUCUAACAAGAGUGGUGGUGGCGGAUCGUGAUCUAGGAGCCUAAAUCACUUCAGCGGAAAAAGCCAACUCGGAUUUUCAAGGUACGAUUUCUAGAAUACGAAUUCUUAUAUAUUAUAUGAGAGCGAUCUUCAAAAGGUUUUAUAAAAAUUUAAAAACCUGAUUUUUCCCCAACAGAUUCAAACAUUACUUCAAUUUUAUUUAAGAGAAUAAAAAAAUCGUUAAUAGGCUACUGUUAUUUGUUAGUACGAUUUCACAAAAAAAUCAGUUUCUUAAACAACUCCAACUACAAUUUUUUUUAACAAAUUUUUGAAUUAUUAAAUCAUAUGUUUGUGUAUAAAUUGAAUAGAAUUAAAAGUGGACGCAAAUGGCUAUUAUGUAAUUUUUUUAUAAUUAAAGAAAAGUUUAGAAUGUAAAAGUGUGUAUGAGAAAACAAAAAAUAUAAAUCACCUUUGAUGUAGUUGUAUGAUUGUAAAGAGUUAGAUGGAGAAAUAUAAUAUAUAAUUAAAUUUAUUUUGUUCCUUAAAACGGGUAGAUUUUAUAAGAAUUUUCCAGAGGAGUGCCAAUAUUUCAACUUUUUUUCAAAUGAAUUGAUGUCCUGGAAUAAAAUCACUACUCUAUCAUUGCUAUUAGUUUGUCUUGUAUUUCAAUAAUUGCCGACAAGUAUUAAUUGUGAAUAUUAUUAUUUUAAAAAUUUAUUAUUAUUAUCGUCGUUAUUCUUAACAGCAAUGACUAGAAUUUUAAUAAGAACAAUAACGUUAAUACAAUAAUAUAACAACAUAAUAAUAUUUUAAUUGGGAGAAUAAGAAUGAAAUUAUGAAAUUUAGGUUGGGUAAAAAUGAUGAGUAUCAGGAAAUUAAAUUACCAUUUUUUAAGCUAAACAAUUCAUAAAUUCCACGUAUUUCAUUCUUAUUUCUCUUAUAUUUUAACAAGUAAACAUUAUCAAUAGUUUUAAUAUUUUAAUUAAUAAACACGGUGUUAACUACGGAACUAAAAGAUCCAAAAAAAAAAAAAACCAGAGACGCGUGUAUGUAUUGCUUGUGACAAAUCUCACCCAUGGAAAACUUUGUGAAAGGCAUUUGAAUGUGAGGCCACAUUUAAUGAACGAAACGAUAACUUUAAAAGAGAGUAUGUACUGUGUUAAUUAUUAGGCUUUAGCUUAAUGAUUGCAAUUAGUUUGUCUUGUAAUUAAAUUAUUGCCGACAAACACUAUCACGACCCACGUCCGCUACUUGUGUGAACGUGUGUAUAAAUAUCCACAGCAUACUAUCAAACCUGAAGCGUGAUCAUCUUUAAGUUUUGGUUAGGGUUCAUCAGACGUUGGAAGAUAUCUUUCCUAAUUUGAAGAAGAUGGAAACUCCUUAUCCAGGUUCUUAGGCCAUGUUCAGUUGAAUGUCAUUUAUAAUUUUUAUUUUAACAUUAUGUAUUUAUGAAUACAAUUAUUGUUAUGAUUUUUUCAGGUAAGAAUGGAUGGUCUGAGGGUAACCCAAUAACUAUGUACAGUAUUAUUAAUGAAAAGAGAGCGUGAGUGACAAUUUGGAUUUUAUUAUCGUCCCUCAAUACGGAAGAAAUCUUGACCAUAGCGGUUAAGUGCUAUGUAACUCUUUCGUAUUAUGUUUAAUUAAUAAUAAAAUGAUGGGUUAUUAUUACCUGUCAAUUAUGUGAGGAGUGUCUUUAUUUGGUUUACUUCCACUUAUAAAAUCUCUUGAGAUAUAUAAGAGAUUUUCUUUAUUUAAUUUUGUGUACCGUGUCUUCUUGUAAAAAGAAAUUAAUAAAAAAAAUCAUUGUUUGCAAUGUAUUAACUAAGUUAGUGUAUUCAUGUUAGGUUAAUUGUGCUCUCUCUUCUUGAUAUUUUAAAAAAAAAAAAAAAUCCACAUAUUGUUGGUUAGCUAAUUCUUGCAGCUAGCAAGUGAUCCUUUUCUUUCCCCUACUGCCGUAGCAUCAAAUCCUUACAAUUACAUAUCAAGUGGUAUUCGAGCCGUCAAAUGAUCCAUGGAAACACGCAACAAAUCAAAUGCUGAAUUUUGCGAAGAGAUUCACGAAAUCCUUGCUAUACAUGAGUCUAGUUUUGACCAAGUUUACGUCACCCAUCAGCUGCGGGUUUGAAUGGUACCUAGUGGAUAUUUUGUGAGUUCCCACUAAUAAAAUCACACUUGCAACAAAACUUAAAAAUUUAAAUUACGUAAUUCAAAUUAUAAAUUUGUAAUCGUAGCCUAAAAAAUCACAUCAAGUACUUAAUUCUAGAUUUUAUCAAUGUAAAUGAGAAAUGAAAGUUUUAGCAUUAAAAUAAAUACACAAAAUAUAUCAAUUUAACACAAAUUUUCAAAUUUAAUUACUAAAUACAUAAGUCUAUCACAACUCAAAGUGCUUUCAAUUGAACACGAAAAAAGAGAAAGAGAAAAAAAAUAAAGAACUACAAAUCAAAGUAGCAUCCAUGACCCAUUUUGCAGUCUCAUUCAAUACCACUAGUACCCAUCCAACACGAUUUAUCUAAACAAAGUAUAAAGUGCAAAAUUACAAUAAGCAUAUCAUACUCCAUGCUUUAAGUUAAAGAUCCUUAUAUAUUUUUAUGAAUAAUUUUUUGAUGAAAUUUUAUGAUUAAAAUUAAAAAUACAAACAUUCAAAUGAGAAUGUCGGACACUUGCGCAACUAUUUACCAAAUUUUUUCUCUAUAAAAAUCGACCUGCAACUUUCAAUAGGUUUAAAUUUAUAAUAUCAAACUUGAUUGCAGCUCGCAAAAAUUAUCUGUUGCGGCCAAGACUUUGGAUUUACGAUGAUUUUGCCACCCUAAGUGUAGUUAGUAUUGUAUCUCAUGUGGCUCUUAUAAAAAGCCUAGAAGUUGUUUGAAUAACGAGGGAGACACAUAUCUCCCACAGAUUUUUUCUUUUUCAAAGUAUUAUGUUUUCUCUAUUAUUGUAACUUCGAAUCCUUAUAAAUUAUAGAUUGGAGACAUGAACACAAUGUUUUGACAUAGUGGACUUUUGACUUGUCCAGAGAAAUUUAGGAUAGAUUUUUACGCACUAAGGCUCUAUUUACUAUUGAGGUUUUAGAACUUUUAAGCCACACUAGAAAUUUGUAUUGUUUUGAUAGAGUUGUAGUCUUUGAUAUGUGAUUGGUAUUAAUCAAGUGUUAUGUUUACAAUAGUUAAAGGCAUAUUGAAUCAAAAUCCACUUCUAAGGGCUUGAUUGAGUGAUUGUAAAGUAGGUUUUUAGUUUGCUAGCCACUCAAGUUCAAAUAUUAGAACCACAGAGCUUUAUAGCCAAGUGAGAGAACUUGUGCCCUAAAAAUUGAGGGGUGCAUAUCAAGUUUUACCACCAAUAAAAGUUGGUGUUAAAACUUUAAUUUCCCUCUUAUUGAUGGAUAUGGGUAAUUAGGAGUUUACAUCCCCUCCUAUUAAUAGACAGGGGUUAUUAGGAAUAUUAAAAAAAAGUUUAAAUAUUGAAAAUAUAGGUAUGAGUUAUAAAAUUCAUAAUAUAAAGAAAAAAAAUCAAGAUAAAGAUUUAAAAAUUUAGAACCAUGAGAGCGUGACUUGUAAGUUUCAAAGAAGCAUGUGCAAAUAUAUGCAUUAUCGAUGCCCAAUUAAGGGUGGGCAUUAAGAUCGGGUUAACCCGAACCGAAUCGAACUUAAAAUUUAUUUUCUCACAAAUGGGUGGUUUGUGCGGGGGAUUCACUGGCUUUUGUUUGCAUUGCCUUAUUGGAUAAAGUCGAGCAUGAGUGAAGAAAAAUUAAAAAUAAAAAAUUUCCCAUUAAUUUGCAACAAGUAUUAUUAAAGUGCAUGAGAAAAGCCACCAGGAUAUGUCUUUUUUUAAAUGAAAAUAAAUGCGUUAAUUAGUCAAUUUAAAUGGUAAGACAUUUUGAAAUGACAGAAGCGAUCUAAAGUUUAAAUCUUACUCACACUUAAUUUAGGGUUGGGGAUUAAUUGACGUACGAUAUAAUAACGAAUUCGAAAGACAAUUAAAAAUUAAAAGAAAAUAAAAAAGUACUUUCUUUUUUAUGAUGAUAAUUUGUUUAGAUGAUGAAAACUCUUAGAGUGGUGUUAUCAGUACAUAGUUUCGAGCGUUGCCAACGUGAAUAAUAUUUAAUUUCCUUUAUAUAGUUAUAUCUGAACUAACAUUUUAACAGAAAUAAGUUGUAAAAAAAAAAAAAGGAACCAUUGAGAUUUGAGAGAACGAAAAACGAAUAAAAAAAAAAAAGUUAAAAAAUUAGAUCUCAAUAAAUUUACUUGAGAACUACUUUACUGAUUAGUGAAGAGAAAACACAAAGAAUAAUGAUGAAUAUCAAUUAAUAGGUCAGUUUUUGUAUUUUUCGUUUAUUCAAGAAUCAUGAAACUUCAUUGGAGACAUUCCUUUCCAAUUAUGCCCAUAUAUUAAUUAAAGACCACCAAAAAGUUCAGGGAUACUAUAGUAAUUUAAGUCAACAAUUUCUGUGCUUGAAAUCAGCCGAUUGAACUCACUUUAGAAUAAACUGAUAAAUCAAAAUCACAUUCUCCGAUUCUCCGAUUUCAUGCAAUUCAUCUUAUUUCUUCAACUGAAGAAUGGAUUGUAUCUCGUUUUAUUUUAUUUUUAUUUUUAUAUAAAGAUAAAUAUAAAAUAUAAAUGACGAGGAGACUGUAAAAGUAAAAUCAAAAGAACAACACGAGUUUUAUUGAAAAUGAAUCUUUUCAUCAUUUUGUUGGAGUGGAUGUGUCUACAUAAAAACUAAAGAAGCACAUUUGUUUGUAUUAACUUUUUUUUUAUUGUAUUUUUAAUAAUAAGUCAUUUGUCAAUGACCUUAUAUCAAUUUUUACGAAAAUAAUAGGUGUGUGUUAGUUUAUUCAAAUGGCAAAACCUCUUGGGAUAGAGCUUGUAAUUUAGUGGCUCACGAUUUGUCUAAAUUGACACUACCGAAUUAUUGUAUUUGGUUAAAAAAGCUCCUACUCUGCUUUAACUUUAUUAUCCUAUGAUGUUUAUUAAUAAAUAACAAUUUUAUUGAAAAAAAGACCUCUUGAAAUGAUACAAAAGAUUUGUGAUAUGAAUCUCACUCGAAUUUAGCUUGAGGUUGGCAUUGUUAGCAUAAUAUUUGAAGAUAGAUUUUUUUAAUUAAAAAUCAAAAGAUUUUUUUUUUUUGGGGUUCAUACUAGUUAGUUUUAACUCAUAGUGAGAUUUAAACAAAAAUGGAAUAAUAAAUCUUGAUAUCCUGACUCAUGGAUAACGUAUAGAUAAGAUAGUAAAAUUUAUUGUGUCGAAAAUAAGAGGUUUGAAGUUUGAAUUUCGCUUACAUAGAUAGUAAGAGAAUCAAAUUAUUGAUAGAUUAAAUUAAUUAAAAAAUUUUCUGAUAUCCAAAACAACAUAUCAACAAAAUUGAAAUAAAAGAAAAUUGAAGAGGAAAACCAUUGAGUUUGUGAGAACGAAAAAUUAACACAAGAAAAUUUCGAUCGCUAAUUGUAUCAGCGUGCGCCAACUUCACUUAUUAAAACAUGGCUAUUUCAUUUUCAUGGAUAAUCAAUUUGACACCGGUCAAAUUUAAAAGUUUUAAAAACUAUGGGCGAUUUGUCUUUCCAGCUAUGCCCAUUAACUAAUAAGAGAACCGCCGAAAGGGUUCGGGGAUAAUAUAGUAAUUUAAACCAACUGUGCUUCAAAUCAUCAAAUCAAACUCACACCUCACAAAAGCAGAGAAAUCAAACGGUUUCCGACUCUACGCUUUAAAUUCAGCUUCAUUUCUUCAACUGAAGAAUCGGUCGUCUCUCAUUUUUUAUUUAUUAUAUAAAGAAUCGGUCACUCUUCAAGUAACUAACUUUUCCUCUUUCACUUCUCUUCAUUUUUAUUAGUUAAUUAAGAUCCAGUUAAUGUAAUUAAUUUUAUUUAAUCUUUUAAAUAAAGUUCUAGAUUAGGCUAACUUAGAUUCAUGUGAAGUUGAAGUGAUUUACUUUCGAUCUCUUUUUCGUCCUAUGUUUAUUUGUACUUACUAUUACUUUUUUUUUUUGGGUUUAAAUUUUCGUUUUUGAAGUGUUUACUGAUUAAAUUUCUGAGCUUUAUUUGUGUAUGAUGAUUGAUUUGUGAUUUUAAUUUGUGACUUUUUUUUUUGGAAUUUAAAUUUGAAUGCUUUUUAAGUUGAAUUGAAUUGCUGUAUGAUCAGGUCAAAUUAAAAUGUUUAAGCUCAUUUUUAAGAAACGAAUUCUCAAUUGGACCAGCCUUUCACAGAAGCUGAUAUCACAGAAGCUUUGAGUCAGAUGCAUCCAACCAAAGCCCCUGGCCCAGAUGGUCUCCCAGCAGUAUUUUUCCAAAAGCUUUAGAAUUCAGUAAGCGAAGGAGUUAUAGCCACUUGUCUGCAUAUCCUCAAUGAUGGAGGUAAUAUUGCUCCUUUGAAUCAUACAUACAUUGCUUUAAUCCCCAAGAUAGCAAAACCUAGGACUCUGAUGGAGUAUAGACCAAUCAGCAUAUGUAAUGUAAUUUAUAGGAUCAUUGCAAAGACUAUAGCGAAUAGGCUGAGGCUAAUCUUAGAUCAUGUUAUUUCACCAACUCAGAGUGCUUUUAUGCCAAAUAGGCUCAUAACUGAUAAUAUAAUUAUUGGGCAUGAGUGUCUUCAUAAGUGGACAAAGCUAAGUUCCAGAGGUGAGAUAGGAAAUUCUCCCGCACGACACAGCAGAAACAAACUUUCCCUUUCAUUUUCUUUUCUCUUUCUCGCUCUCCAAACAGAGCAAAAGGACCGUCACAAGAUUCUUCACUUCCAUCCAAAAUCAUGAGCAACAAAUGGUGAGCCUCCCUGUUUCCUUCCUUUUUUUUAUAUUAACCUUGUUAACAUAUACUCAUUUUAAUUUGACAAUACUUCAACUUUUUUUAAUUUUUUGCCUUUUCAUUUUUUUUGUUGAAGCAAUUAUCUGUUCAAGCUGUUGCUUAUCGGAGACUCGUCCGUCGGAAAGUCCUGUCUGCUGCUCCGAUUUGCUGUCUGUUGACUUUUCCUUUCCCUUCUUAUUUUCUUUUUUUAUAUUAAUUACUUUCUAUUUUAGCUUUUUGUUCUCUGAAUUUGUGUUAUUAAAAUGAUAAUUUAGAUGAUAAAUAAUUGUUAUUGUUGUAAAUUUCGGUUUUCAUUACGUUAAUUGUUAGCUUUUAGGUUUAUUAAUGUAAUUUUUUUUUUUUCAAUUUUUCAGGAUGAUUCUUAUGUCACAGCUACAUCAGUACCAUUGGAGUUGAUUUUGUGAGUCUCUCUUCUAUAUAUAUGUAUAUAUGUGUAUAAGUUAUAAUAUGAGUCUAUGUACGUGUAUGUAUGUAUGUGUAUGCAUAUGUGGAAAGAAAUGUUGGCAGACUUCAGCAUUUUACUCUUUUUUUUUUUGGCAGAAAAUAAGAACUGUGGAGCUGGAUGGGAAGACGAUCAAACUGCAGAUUGUGAGUCAAAAUUUCCUUUUAUCUUGUAUUGAGAGAAAUUCGAUUUGUCUUAUUUUCUUUGUUUGAAGAGUGAUAUGUUGAAAUGAGUGUAUUUGUCUUAUAAACAUCAUUUAGGUAAUGUCUUAUGUUUGAUUGUUUUUCAUCUGUUUAGUGGGACACUGCUGGACAGGAGCGAUUCAGGACUAUAACUAGCAGUUAUUACCGAGGAGCCCAUGGAAUCAUAGUAAGGAGCCUUCCCGGUUCUUGGUUUAAAUCAGAAAGUUUGUGAUUUACAUGUGACAUCUUAACAGCAUUGUAUGUGUUUAUUAACUUAUUUUUCAUCUUUCAUUAAGCAGUACAUUUUCUAUUAAAUCUGUAUACAAGAUGAUGUAGUCCAAGAAUGGGAGCCAUAAUAUGAUGCAAAUUGUCUAAUAAAUUCUUAUGACAUAUGAUGUUGUCGGAAGUAAAAGUCUUGCAAUGCUGUAUUCUCUUUUAAGAAAGAAUAAGUGGUAAUUUUGUUUUUCCAAUUUUUUAAUUGAGCAACUGUAUGAGAUUAAUUAAAUGUGUUGGGAUUUCAACAGAUUGUCUAUGAUGUAACUGGGAUGGAGAGCUUCAAUAAUGUCAAGCAGUGGUUGAAUGAGAUUGACAGAUACGCAAAUGACAGUGUAUGCAAGCUUCUAGUUGGGAACAAAUGCGAUUUAGUUGUGAACAAGGUUGUGGACACACAGACAGCCAUGGUAUAUUCAUGACUUUUGUUGCCUGAACUUUGAAUAUAAUUUUAAACUCUUCUCAAGUGCAUUUGCUUGGUAAGUUUCUGCAUACCCAGGACACUCAAACUUUGGACAGUCUGUAUCUCGAGUUGGAAUCUUUUCUGUCAAUACGACUUGUUAAAAUAAGGGUUGUUAUCUUUUGAAUCAUUCAAGAAUUCACUACUACAAAAAUGACCUUUACUGACACUUCGUUUCUGACACUUCGUUUCUGACACUUCGUAAAAAGUGUCAGUAAUGGUUUACAUUUUGGUCAUUUUUUCCAUUUAACAAAUAUGUAUCAUAAAUCACUGGUACUAAGGUGUCAGUAGCAUAAAACUCAGUAAUUACUGAUGCUUUAGUAUCAGUGAUAAAGACAAAUAUAAUUCUAAUUAUAUUUUUACUUGGACUCGAACUCAAUAUCUCCGAAGUUAAAAUUUUAAUUUCAAACUACAAGCCACGUGUGCGCAUAUUUUCUUUGUUUGGUUAAACCAUAUAUAAUUAACCAAAAACCCUUUGCCAUAAUUUAACACAAACUUUUCGAUCUCCCUCCACCAAAUUUUGUUCCCUCUCAAACAAACUAAAAUCCAAAUCCCUAAAAUUCCAAGUGCCUAAAUCCUUAACUCUCCCUAAGUGCUAACCAGUGACAGCCCCUCUCUAAGGCCUUAGCAGCACGCACGAUGACGGCGGCACACGUAGCCCGAGUACCGGCAGCCCAGCAGGUCGCACCACACAUUGCAGUAGCUCGCUCGCUUUCACUCUCUCUCUGAAUGCACACACAGCAGUGGCAGCCCCUCUCUCUCACGCUCGUUUUGUCGCUCUCACUUUCUCCGUCUCUGGUCACCAUCUCACCUUCCGGUCUAAACUGUUGUCGUCGCAGCCGCGUUCAGCCGUCGCCAUCGUGCCGGCCGCUUGAGACAGUGAGUUGAGAUUCCACUUUUUAAUUUUUUUUCAUAAAAUUUUUGCCUGAAUUUGAUUAGUCAAAUACUCAAAUUAAUUGCGUUGUGAGUAAUACUGUAAUGAUUUAAUUUGCCCUGCAUCCCCUGCAGAAGGUAAGCAACUCCAUUUUUAGGGUUCGUGUAGUAGUGUCUUGACUGAAUCGCCUUAGUAAUCAUAAGGUCAGUUUUCUCAAGAAGGGCAACUUCGAUCUUUUGGCAUUUUCAGUGCUGCUUCUGAAUCUCUGUUUACUGUAGCCUGCUUCUACAUGUGAUUUGAGGGCCAAGAAUUUAUCUCAAGGGAAAAUCACAUUAUGUUUCAAUUCUCUGUUUGACCCUUUUAACUUUUGAAUAUCAACAUUAUAUGUUUAGUGUUCCGUCAAUUGUUUUAUCAAAUACAUAGACCUUUGGGCUUUAGACACUAGUGUUCAAAAUUAGCAUCUAGUUUUUAUGGUAUCUUUGAGCAGGGGUUUCGCUUCAUUUGGUUGAAUAAAAGAUCAGUUUUCAUUGUCAUGGAUCAAAAAAAAAAAAAAAGGCCUUGGCCACUAGUACCUCAGGAGGUCAAAGCCAAGGCUUCCAAAGACAAUGUUCCCAUGAUCGAUGUGACUCAAUUUGGCUACUUUAAGGUUUUAGGUAAGGGCCUUUUGCUUGAGAACCAACUCGUUGUGGUGAAGGCCAAGCUUGUUUCCAAAAUAGCCAAGAAGAAACUUAAAAAAUCUGGUGGGUCUGUCGUGUUUACUGCUUGGGUUUAGUGUUAUUGCUUUUAUAAUUUUUUUUCUGUUAUUUUGGUUUCAGCUUUUGAGGAUUUGACUAUAUAGUUUUGGAUAUUUAUGUUAUCAUCGGAAACUUUUUGUUUUAUAUUAAGGCAUGUUAUUGAUUAAGAAGAAGAAGAAGAAGAAGAAGAAGAAGAAGAAGAAGAAUAUUUUGCAGAAAAUGUUUUAGUUUCUUUCUUCCAUUCGGCAUUUGUAGUAUUUAUUUGAUUCGAUUUCUGUCAUGGUGUGUUGAUUAUGCGGAUGAUAAGAUACUACCUUGCUCCUUUACUUAUGUUUGAUUCCUUAUACUAGAAACAUACCUCUAGUAGAGUUGCCAUUUAUCUACUUUAUUGUUGUAAAAUCUGUUAUAAAAUGUAUAAGCAAUCAUUCAUUUGAACUCUCUUUAUAUGCUUAAAAUCUGAAUUCAUGUACAAGGUGUUAGUGUCAAUGUUGUUGAUCAUUUCAAUAAGUAGUGCCAAUUUAUAAUGACCUUGGUGCAUUUCUAUUCAGUCAGUAAACUUUUGUCAUUUAAGUUGUUUAUUUGUUUAACAAAUGUAUAACUAGUUUCUACAAAUUUACUUUGUGUAUAAUAGAUGAUUCAAAAUCUUGGCAUAGAGGAAAGUGAAGUUUCUGAGGUAAAUAAGGUACUUUACAAAAACUAUACCACAUCAAUGGUUGGUCUAAGAUACAAUAUAUAUGUAAGUUUAAAUGCACUAUUAUUUAUAUACAUAUCCUUGCCAAAAAAAAAAAAAACCAAUAAAAGCAGUUUCAUAAACUGAUGUAAAUGUUGUUAUUAUUGUUAAUUUGCAGGCUAUCAGCUAUGAUGUCGACAAUGGUGACUAUCAUAGGUAACAUUAUUUUCCUUUCUAAUUCAUCUGAAAGUGUUAAUUUGCAGGGGCUGUUUCUACUACAGAAUAGCAACAAGACAGCCCCUGUAGAUUUCUAGUGGUUGUUUUCACUGCACAACAGCCCCUACAGAUUUCCGGGGGAUGUUUUGUUGCUAUUCUAAAGUCAAAAAAACUCGUAUAAUUUUUUUGGGCUAUUUUGCAAUGAAAAUACUUUUGAGGUUUGUUGAGGAAGGAGGGGAAUGAGAGCGGUAGUUUUUUAGAAGGCUUGAUGAGAGUUUCAUAAAUUUGACAAGUUUUAUGAGAUUAAAGUGAAAGAAGUUUAUGCUAAGGCUGAAAGUUUGAGUGGGUAAAUGGAUGUUUUGAUUGCAGAUUUCUGUUGUUUGAUUAUAAAAAAUAGGAAGGUUUUAAUUAGAUUGACUUAGAUGUUUUGUUUUCUGUGACUUGUAGCAGGUUAUCCAACAUGGCUUCUUUAGACAACUUAAGCUAAGGUUCUUUAUUUCUAUAACUUUCAGUAUUAUUGUAAUAUUAUUUCUUAUUAUUUUAUUAGUUGUUGAAACAUCCUUCAAUUGCUUUGUUUAACUACUCGCAAUCAAUUUGUUUUCCAUAAUCUAUUUCCAUACUAAUUGAUUUUAAUUAUGUUGUUGUAGGUGGGGAAAAAAUGAAGCUGCAUAUGGAUAUUGAGUGAUGUUCUUGUGCUUCUUUUUGGUGGAAACUAAAUUAGUACUUUGUGGUUGUUGAAAACUUAAUUUAGUACUUAUAUUUUUCUUUUCCAGAUAGUGGUGUAGUUGAAUCAUGUGAAUUUGAGUGAUGUAUUUGGGAUGUUUAUUAUGUGAAUUAUAUUGUGACAUUUUAUAUAUUUGAUAUAUUUUGAGCUUUCUUUUAGUUGUAAAACAAACAGGAAAAAUAUAAUUAGAAUAAAAAAAAUUUAUUAACCAAUCCUCAAUAACAUUACGAAAUACUGACAUUAAAUAUUUAAAUUGAAAUGAAUAUUUUUUGAUAUUAUCGAGCUAGCUUGUUAUUGAUACUAUAGUCACAUAAAUCACUGACAUGUAAAUAGUAUCAUCAAAUAUUAACAUUAUCGUAUCAUUAUUUUGGUGAUACUAUAGUGACAUGAAUUACUGAUACAAAAAUCACUGACACUAAAAAUUAGUGUCAGUGUGUUCUGGCUUGAGCAUCACUGACACAAUUAACAAGUGUCAAGAAAAGUAAUUACUGACACUAAUUUAGUGUCAGUAAAACCCAUUUUUGUAGUAGUGAUUGCAAUAAAUCUAAAGUCCAUAAAAAAUAUGAUUCCAUCAUUUUACUAUUAUAUCUAGACAAAACCCAUUAUUUUACUACAUUUCAUUGGCACCGAUAGUUGACCUGUUGGCUGACUGAUAAAAUAUCAAUUUUGCACUUUAUAUUAAUUGUUUUUUGGUUAAAAAAUAACACACAAAGUAUUACAAUAUUAUAAAUUCAAAAUAUAAAGUAGUUACAAAUAAUUCCUAUUAGCCUAUGAAUAUAAUAUUUGAUACCUCUAUUUGUGUAAUUUUUUUCCAAUGGUGAAAUUGUUAUUUUUUUUGUACUAACGGAAAUGUAGUAAAAUCAUAAGUUUUGUAAAGAUAUAGUAGUAAAAUGAUAGACUAAAAUACUUCUUGUAGUUGUUUGAUAUAUUGUAAUUCUUAAAGUAGUCAAUUGAUAAUAUCCCCUAAAAUAAAUGUUCGUAAUAUGUUCUCAUUUUAAUGCAACUGAUUGUUUAAUAAAAUUGUAUUUCUUUGUUAAUCUUUUAUCAUGUGCAUGCUCAGUGAGAAUUUGACUUGCUAGAACACAAGUUUGACUCUUCAUUUAAAUGUCUCUUGUAUCAUAUCCUUCAAUGUUGAGUGUGAUUCCAAUAAAAUUGAGUAGGGAGAUCCUUAAAUACCUUUUCCUUUUUUCCAAGGGCCUGCCAAAUUGCUCUAAGUGGUUCUACCCUUUAUCAAUGAAUAAUGAAAAUAAAAUUUUUAUUAAAGCAUUCUGUUCCUUAAAUGGUGACUAAUAGUACCCUUUUUUUUUUGGAGAGGAAAGCCAAACGCCCAAAGAGGAUCAUUUACUUUCCUCUAAUGUAUUUUCUAAUUCGUUUUGAGCCUUGAAUGUCUGUUUUGGUGCGUAUUCUCAUUCCAUGUCGAAUCUUAUCCAUAUGGACAACCCCACUUACAAAAAAGUCUAAUGAAUCUAUUGAAGUUCAUAUGAGGUUUGUGCUUUAGAUUUAGACCUCUCUCUCUCUCUCUCUCUCCACUUACAUGUCUUUCACUUACCUGUUUGCAUGCAUGCCCAUGCACACACUUUCAAGAUAAUACACGGUCACUCGUACUUCUGUUUUGGUUGAAUUACUGGCUGCUAACCUCUGUAAUUCAGUUUGAAACUUGCCACCCUUAGUGCUUCACUCAAAUGGUUGGUUAGGGUGAGAUCUGUAUCGUUUUCCUGGUCUCUUUCCAAGGUUAUCUAAAGGGAUUUGGCAGUCUGAUUCUUUAGGGAAUAUCAUUGCAUAAGAUAUCUAUUGUUUGUUAAUGAAUAAUUUCUAUUUAACUAGUUAUCUAUAUAAAUUGGUAAAUUUUAACUGCAUAAUUUGCAUGCAAUAAGAUUUUAUAAGAAUCUUGUUUUCAACGCAUGACUUAGACUAAUGUGAUAUGUUGAGCAUUAAGCUACAAGAUCUGCACAUCAAAGUGCUUCACAAUGUUAAGGAGAAAGCAUCUUUUUCUGCUUCUUCAUGUGAUUUAAAGUUUCCAUGGUACUUAUCUAAUAAAAUAUCUUUCAAGACUUUGGAAAUGCUUUUAUGUAUGACUGAGAGAAACUUGUUGGGUUGGUUUUUAGCAACAGACGGAGUUAUGGACUUUGUGUUGACUUGUUAUUGAUUAAGACAGUACAUCGGCUGAUCUAUUGGCAUCAAGCAGCAGAUGCAGAAAUUAUGGGUGGCAUACCAUUGUAUCCAAAUAACAUACUACAUUGAUUUUUCUGACUUUCUGUUGGCCUCCGAGUGAAAUGCAGGCAUUUGCAGAUGAACUGGGGAUUCCUUUCCUGGAGACGAGUGCCAAAGAUGCAAUCAAUGUGGAGCAGGCUUUCUUGACCAUGGCCGGCGAGAUUAAGAAAAAGUAAAAUCACUUAACUCUUUCCUUCUUGCCGACUGUUCUUAUUCAACAACCACCAUUAUUGCUGGUUAUGUGCAUUGUGAUGAAAAUUCUGCAAUGAAUAACUUUUUACCUAAUGUUUUCUGUUGGAACAAAUUACUCUGGUAGAAAAGCCCUACAGGGUUUGAGAAAUCCCAUGAUGUGAUGAUUGUGAGCAUUUUAGACACCGUGUAUGGGUUUAUUUUGUGACUAUAAAAUGUUAAGAUUGUUUCUAGUUUUGGUUUGUAGUGCAUAAAAGGAUUCAAAAUUUGACAUCUGUCUAAAUCAGAUUAAUAACAUGAUAAUAAUGUACAUAUGCAAGAUGUGAGGAAUUGUUUUAUCUCACCCCUAAACUUUAAGAAAUUGAAACAUUAUUAUUCAAAAUAUUUAACAUUUCCAGAAUUGAUAGUUGUCUAUUUGAGCAGUGACUGGUGGUUAUCAUGAACUGAUGUGUGGUUGUGGUUUCAAAUCUUCGUGAAACCUGUUGUCAUAUGCUGAUUAACAUAGCUAGUCUCUGAAACAAUUUGUUGAUUCACUAAUUAUGAGUUCAAAUUUGAUGCAGAAUGGGCAACCAGCCUACUGCAAACAAAUCUUCUGGAACAGUUCAGAUGAAGGGAUAGCCAAUCCAGCAAAACAGCAACCGCUGUGGUUAGCCGAGCAUCUUAUUUUACUUCUACAUGUUAGCUGACUGAUUGUAGACAGUUUUAACUAUGUUGACUGCAUUAUCUUAUGAAUCUUUUAAUCUGUCAAAUAUUUAUUUCCUGCUUUAAGUUCUUUCCCGUUUAUAACAAAUUUAAUUUCUUGCUCUAUAGCAUUCCAAAUUCCUGUUAAUUUACGAG
rnacentral:lncRNA from 1 species